CGAUGUGAACCAACCAGGACUCGCGAUUCCCUUGCCACCUAGGGCGGGCGGUAUGGAGACAGAGCCAGUGGUGGGGUCCGGGAGGGGUCGGAGAGUGAGGGGCCGGUCGCUGUGCCCUAAGCUGGCAAGGAGCAAGGUGUUUUGCAGGCGAGAGGGAUGAAUUCUGCGUUUAACGUCGUCUCCUUGGCAUGCUGCCUAAAUGAUGGGCAUGGAAAUAGUGCUGAGGGAUGUGGGCUGAAUCGUGGGAUGAAUCGAGAAAACAGGGACUUUUGUCCUUAGGGUCCCCAGAAGUUGAGAAGCUCUGGACUACAGUGCAUCUGAUAGAAGUUGUCACAAAAAAAAAAAAAAAAUAGUGAGUGGGCUCCCUAGUCACUCCACUUAACACAAUAAAGAGUAGGAGAGCUUUUUGAAAUUUUUCAGGCUGUUUUCUCUGACCUUUCAUUACUGCUGACUUUUCCUGAUAAGGAGAAGUAUACAGACUGCAGCCCUUAGGGUAGUUGCACCUCAUUUAUAUUUCUCAUCUUGAUAUUUGAUAUGCAUUCUCGAUGAAUUCAUAUUCAUUUGAUAUUCAUUCUCAAUGUUACCAUAAGGGUAGAAUUUUAACCACUAAUAAGCAAAAGAAACAUGAUAAGCAGGGCAUAUUUUCUUUCCUAUUCUGUCUUAUAUGAUGGUACUUACCUAAUUUGAGGCUGUAUGUGAAAU
rnacentral:lncRNA from 1 species